rnacentral:rRNA from 1 species
UGGGGAAUAUUGGACAAUGGGCGAAGCCAUGAUCCAGCCAUGCCGCGUGUGUGAAGAAGGUCUUCGGAUUGUAAAGCACUUUAAGUUGGGAGGAAGGGCAGUAAAUUAAUACUUUGCUGUUUUGACGUUACCGACAGAAUAAGCACCGGCUAACUCUGUGCCAGCAGCCGCGGUAAUACAGAGGGUGCAAGCGUUAAUCGGAAUUACUGGGCGUAAAGCGCGCGUAGGUGGUUCGUUAAGUUGGAUGUGAAAUCCCCGGGCUCAACCUGGGAACUGCAUUCAAAACUGACGAGCUAGAGUAUGGUAGAGGGUGGUGGAAUUUCCUGUGUAGCGGUGAAAUGCGUAGAUAUAGGAAGGAACACCAGUGGCGAAGGCGACCACCUGGACUGAUACUGACACUGAGGUGCGAAAGCGUGGGGAGCAAAACAGGAUUAGAU